rnacentral:rRNA from 1 species
CAGCCGCCGCGGGAAUACGUAGGGUGCGAGCGUUAAUCGGAAUUACUGGGCGUAAAGCGUGCGCAGGCGGUUUUGUAAGACAGGCGUGAAAUCCCCGGGCUCAACCUGGGAAUGGCGCUUGUGACUGCAAAGCUAGAGUGCGGCAGAGGGGGAUGGAAUUCCGCGUGUAGCAGUGAAAUGCGUAGAUAUGCGGAGGAACACCGAUGGAGAAGGCAAUCCCCUGGGCCUGCACUGACGCUCAUGCACGAAAGCGUGGGGAGCAAACAGGAUUAGAUACCCCAGUAGUCCCUGUCUCUUAUAC